CAGCCGCCGCGGUAAUACGAGGGGGGCAUGCGUUGUUCGGAAUUAUUGGGCGUAAAGGGUGCGUAGGCGGCUUGACAAGUCUUGUGUGAAAUCUAUGGGCUCAACCCAUAGUCUGCACGGGAAACUGUCGGGCUUGAGAAUGGGAGAGGUGAGUGGAAUUUCCGGUGUAGCGGUGAAAUGCGUAGAUAUCGGAAGGAACACCUGUGGCGAAAGCGGCUCACUGGACCAUUUCUGACGCUGAUGCACGAAAGCUAGGGGAGCAAACAGGAUUAGAUACCCCAGUAGUCCCUGUCUCUUAUAC
rnacentral:rRNA from 1 species